GACGAACGCUGGCGGCGUGCCUAAUACAUGCAAGUAGAACGCUGAAGGAGGAGCUUGCUUCUCUGGAUGAGUUGCGAACGGGUGAGUAACGCGUAGGUAACCUGCCUGGUAGCGGGGGAUAACUAUUGGAAACGAUAGCUAAUACCGCAUAACAGUAGAUAUCGCAUGAUAUCUACUUGAAAGUUGCAAUUGCAUCACUACCAGAUGGACCUGCGUUGUAUUAGCUAGUUGGUGAGGUAACGGCUCACCAAGGCGACGAUACAUAGCCGACCUGAGAGGGUGAUCGGCCACACUGGGACUGAGACACGGCCCAGACGCCUACGGGAGGCAGCAGUAGGGAAUCUUCGGCAAUGGACGGAAGUCUGACCGAGCAACGCCGCGUGAGUGAAGAAGGUUUUCGGAUCGUAAAGCUCUGUUGUAAGAGAAGAACGAGUGUGAGAGUGGAAAGUUCACACUGUGACGGUAUCUUACCAGAAAGGGACGGCUAACUACGUG
rnacentral:rRNA from 1 species